UUUUAAAGUAACACCCAUAUUUUCAUAUUUAAUCAUAUGCAAUAAAAAUCUUAUUUAAUACCACUUCCAAAUCUACUCCUCCACCUCAGAUCUUUUAUCCAACUCCAGAAUGUUCAUCAUAUUCUCAUCAACAUCUCAAAUCCAACAUGCCCCAAACUGGACUCCUAAUCUUUUUCCUAGAAAAUGCUCCAUCUGCCACCUUCCAUGUCAAUUGAUGAAAAUUCCUUCCUCCCAAAAGGUAAAAACCUUGGAGUCACUCUCCGCUCCUCUCUUUCUUUCCUACCACAGGCCAGUCUUCCACAAACCCUCCACUUCCCAGAUAGACUCAGAAUCUGUCACCUCACUCUCUGCUCACGUGCCUGGUCUUCCUCCCCCGCCUCCCCGAGCCACCAUCAUCAUUCUCACGGCUUGUUCUGGCAGCUUCCCGGCACACCUCCCUGCUCUCCACUUGUUCUCUUUCGUCCUCUGACAAGAAGGCAGAGUGCUCAUACUGACAGGAUGAAAAUGAAGAGACUGGGAAUUUUUCCUGCAGCGGUUUUAUAGCGCGCCAGAAAGUGAGAGGCUGAGAGCACUUCGGGACCUCUGAGUACUGACUCCGCGUUCUUCCUGGACUGUGGGAAGCUACGCCUGCAUUGCUCAUAAUGAGACUAAAUUAAAAGCCCAAAAAUGAGUUGCAUAAAAGCAAACUCAAUAGAACUCAGCUCGUAGACCUCAUGGCUUUAAGAAAAUGAGGUCUGAGUGUGUGUGGACAAGGCUACUUUUCCCUUAGCAUAGCACUGUCUUGUUACAAGAAGACCAAAGAAAAAGGUUUUUAUCCCAAAAUAUUGAAAAUAGGUCUUCAAACAAAUAUUUGUGCAUGAAUGUUCAAGGCAACACUAUUCACAUUAGCCAGAAGAUGGAAACAACCCAAUUGCUCAUCAGCUGAUGGACAGAUAAACA